CUCUGCCGCUCUGUCGCGCUGCCGCUCUGCCGCUCUGCUGGAAAACAUUUGGCAUCCUCAAAUCCUAAAUCCAUGCUGCCGUCUUCUGGUUCCUGGUCACUCCUCUGCAGUAAAACGAGGUGAGUAACUUCGUUACAGCGUAAUAAAAAGGAAUUUGCUCAUGGAGUCAGCGGCAGUCGGAUUAGAACCUGAAACUCUUUAUUGUUCUGGAGGUUCUAGUAGCGGAGAGUCAGCUGCGACGUGAUUGGUUCUUUUUGUUUCUCCAUCAACGGACAUGUUGCACUUGUAAAUACAGGAAGAAAAACUAAAUAAACAAGAUAAUCUACUAAUGUCAAAGUUGAACCGUCAGGGUGAUGACGGGGGGGGGGGGUUAUUUGACUGGUGCAGGGCGUUGUGUUUAGGGGUCGGGGAGCUCGGGGUCAAAGGAGGAAGUUCAACACCUGGAUACCCACAAUGCAUCACUCCUCCACUUCUUUUUCUGUUCUUCAUCUCGUUAGCUUGGUUUUGGGUUUGCAUGCAGAUUUUUUAUUUUUUCAAAUUCAACUGCAUGACUGAGGAUGAUGAUGAUGAUGAAGACCAUCGUCGAGGCCGAGUCCCUCUAUAGUUGGACCUUUGUUCUGCGGUUCCAGACGGUUUCAGUCCUGGCUGCAUGGUUCUGGACCCGAGGCCCGCUGUCGGCUCCGUUCUGAACCCACUGACCGGCUGUUUAGUUUAUUUUCUUUUUUUUACCAAACAUCUUUCCGUUGCAUGUCCUGGUCUUGAACAGGUAAGUGGGCCACCGGUUCUACAUGGGCAGGGCCCGGUGGGGGUCUGGGU